UGCCAGCAGCCGCGGUAAUACGGAGGGGGCUAGCGUUGUUCGGAAUUACUGGGCGUAAAGCGCACGUAGGCGGUUCGUUAAGUCUGAUGUGAAAGCCCGGGGCUCAACCCCGGAAGUGCAUUGGAAACUGGCGAACUUGAGUACGGGAGAGGAAAGUGGAAUUCCGAGUGUAGGGGUGAAAUCCGUAGAUAUUCGGAGGAACACCAGUGGCGAAGGCGGCUUUCUGGACCGAUACUGACGCUGAGACGCGAAAGCGUGGGGAGCAAACAAGAUUAGAUA
rnacentral:rRNA from 1 species